rnacentral:rRNA from 1 species
UGCGAGCGUUGUCCGGAAUUAUUGGGCGUAAAGGGCUCGUAGGCGGUUUGUCGCGUCGGGAGUGAAAACCAGGUGCUUAACACCUGGCUUGCUUUCGAUACGGGCAGACUAGAGGUAUGCAGGGGAGAACGGAAUUCCUGGUGUAGCGGUGAAAUUCGUAGAUAUCGGGAGGAACACCAGUGGCGAAGGCGGCGAUCUGGGAAGAUACUGACGCUGAGGUGCGAAAGCGUGGGGAGCAAACAGG